rnacentral:rRNA from 1 species
GAGGGGCUCGCGGCCUAUCAGCUAGUUGGUAGGGUAACGGCCUACCAAGGCGAUGACGGGUAGCUGGUCUGAGAGGACGACCAGCCACACGGGGACUGAGACACGGCCCCGACUCCUACGGGAGGCAGCAGUGGGGAAUUUUCCGCAAUGGGCGAAAGCCUGACGGAGUGACGCCGCGUGGGGGACGAAGGCCUUCGGGUCGUAAACCCCUGUCAGAGGGAAAGAUGGGUGCCGGCGUGAACAGCGCCGGCAUCUGACGGUACCUUCAGAGGAAGCCCCGGCCAACUCUGUGCCAGCAGCCGCGGUAAGACAGAGGGGGCAAGCGUUGCUCGGAAUUACUGGGCGUAAAGGGCGUGUAGGCGGAGCGGCAAGUCGGUCGUGAAAGCCUCUGGCUCAACUAGAGAACGCCGACCGAUACUGCCGCCCUUGAGGGUAGCAGAGGAGACUGGAAUUCCCGGUGUAGCGGUGAAAUGUGUAGAGAUCGGGAGG